UACAGAGGGUGCGAGCGUUAAUCGGAAUUACUGGGCGUAAAGCGCACGUAGGCGGCUUGGUAUGUCGGGGGUGAAAUCCCCGGGCUCAACCUGGGAACUGCAUCCGAAACUGCCUUGCUAGAGUAUGGGAGAGGGAAGUGGAAUUUCCGGUGUAGCGGUGAAAUGCGUAGAUAUCGGAAGGAACAUCAGUGGCGAAGGCGACUUCCUGGCCUGUUCUUGACGCUGAGGCGCGAAAGCUAGGGGAGCAAACGGG
rnacentral:rRNA from 1 species